rnacentral:lncRNA from 1 species
AUACCCUAGACCCACUGCAAUUUGCUUACAGCACCAAUAGGUCCACUGACGAUGAAAUCGCCAUCACACUGCACACUGCCCUAUCCCAUCUGGACAAGAUAAAUAUCUAUGGAAGAAUGCUGUUCAUUGACUGUAGCUCAGCAUUUAACACCAUAGUUCUUUCCAAACUCCUCAUUAAGCUCGAGACCCUGGGUCUCAACCCCGCCCUGUGCAACUGGGUCCUGGACUUUCUGACGGGCCGCCCCCAGGUGGUGAGGGUAGGAAAACAUCUCCACCCUGCUGAUCCUCAACACUGGGUUCCCACAAGGGUGCGUUCUCAGCCCUCUCCUGUACUCCCUGUUCACCCACGACUGUGUGGCCAUGCACGCUUCCAACUCAAUCAUCAAGUUUGCAGACGACACUACAGUGGUAGGUUUGAUUACCAACAAUGACGAGACGGCCUACAGGAAGGAGGUGAGGGCCCUCGGGGUGUGGUGUCAGGAAAAUAACCUCUCACUCAAUGUCAACAAAACAAAGGAGAUGAUCGUGGACUUCAGGAAACAGAGGGAGCACCCCCCCAUCCAUAUUGACAGGACAGUAGUGGGGAAGGUGGAAAGUUUUAAGUUCCUCGGCGUACACAUCACGGACAAACUGAAAUGGUCCACCCACACAGACAACGUGGUGAAGAAGGUGCAACAGCGCCUCUUCAACCUCAGGAGGCUGAAGAAAUUUGGCUUGUCACCGAAAACACUCAAACUUUUACAGAUGCACAAUCGAGAGCAUCAUGUCGGGCUGUAUCACUGCCUGGUAUGGCAACUGCACCGCCCUCAACCGCAAGGCUCUCCAGAGGGUAGUGCGGUCUGCAUAACGCAUCACCGGGGGCAAACUACCUGCCCUCCAGGACACCUACCAGCACCUAAUGUCACAGGAAGGCCAAAAAGAUCAUCAAGGACAACAACCACCCGAGCCAUUAACUGUUCACCCUGCUAUUAUCCAGAAGGCGAGGUCAGUACAGGUGCAUCAAAGCUGGGACCGAGAGACUGAAGAACAGCUUCUAUCUCAAGGCCAUCAGACCGUUAACCUGUUUAGGAUAGGGGGCAGUAUUUUCACGGCUGGAUGAAAAACAUACCCAAUUUAAACUGGUUACUACUCUUGCCCAGAAAUGAGAAUAUACAUAUUAUUAGUAGAUUUGGAUAGAAAACACUGAAGUUUCUAAAACUGUUUGAAUGAUGUCUGUGAGUACAACAUAACUCAUAUGGUAUUUGGAUAUAACUAUGGAUUAUUUCGAACAAAAACAACAUUUCUUGUGGAAGUAGCAGUCCUGGGAGUGCAUUCUGAUGACGAUCAGCAAAGGUAAUACACUAUUUCUAAUACUAAUUCUGAGUUUAGGUGACCCCGAAGUUGGUCGGGUGCCGUGAUGGCGAGCUAUGUACUCAGAAUAUUGAAAAAUGUGCUUUCGCCAAAAAGCUAUUUUAAAAUCUGACACAGCGAUUGCAUAAAGGAGUUCUGUAUCUAUAAUUCUUAAAACAAUUGUUAUGUAUUUUGUCAACGUUUAUGGUGAGUAUUUUUGUAAAUUCACCGGAAGUUUUUGGUGGGAAAUACAUUUUCUGAACAUCAAGCGCCAAUGUAAAAUGCUGUUUUUGGAUAUAAAUAUGAACUUUAUCGAACAAAACAUACAUGUAUUGUGUAACAUAAUGUCCUAGGAGUGUCAUCUGAUGAAGAUCGUCAAAGGUUAGUGCAUAAUUUAACUGUGUUUUUGGUUUCUGUGACAUAUACCCUUGCUUGGAAAAUGGCUGUGUGAUUAUUUGUGUCUAUGUACUCUCCUAACAUAAUCUAAUGUUUUGCUUUCGCUGUAAAGCCUUUUUGAAGUGGGACAAUGUGGUUAGAUUAACGAGAGUCUUAUCUUUAAAAUGGUGUAAAAUAGUUGAUUGUUUGAGAAAAUUGAAUUGUGGUAUUUUAGUUGUUUUUGUAUUUCACGCCAUGCGAUCCCAUUGGCUGUUGGCUAGGGGUCCCGCUGGCGGAACCCCUAGAUGUAAGAAGUUAAACAGCCAUCACUAACAUAGAGAGGCUGCUGCCAACAUACACACUCAAAUCUCUGGCCACUAACUUUUUAGGGUAUAGGGGGCAGUAUUUUCAAUUUUGGAUGAAAAGCGUGCCCAGAGUAAACUGCCUAAUACUCGGGCCCAGAGUCAAAUAUUUGCAUAUUAUUAGUAGAUUUGGAUAGAAAACUCUCUGAAGUUUCUAAAACUGUUUGAAUGAUGUCUGUGAGUAUAACAGAACUCAUAUGGUAGGCAAAAACCUGAGAAAAAUCCAACCAGGAAGUGGGAAAUCUGAGAAUUGUAGUUCUUUUGAAUUCCUAUCGAAACUACAGUGUCUGUGGGGUCCCGUUGCACUUCCUAAGGCUUCCAUUGGCUGUCAACAGCCUUUAGAAAGUUUUUUCAUCCUUCUCCUGUUACUGGGCAGAGAAUAGUAGCUCAGUCAAUGAGUGGACUGCCUGAGGACAAAUGGCUUGGUGAUGCGUGAGCUCGCGAGCACCCCGUUCCUUCUUUUUCUCCUGGAAUGAAUACGCUAUUGUCCGGUUGGAAUAUUAUUGCAUUUUUACGUUAAAAAUCCCCUAAAGAUAGAUUGUCAACAAUGUUUGACAUGUUUCUACAAACGGUAAUGGAACUAUUUUACUUUUCGUCUCUGGUACUGCGCUAGCGCAUUAUGCCUUUGGAUAGUGAUCUGAACGCACAAACAAAACGGAGGUAUUUCAGGUGUUGCUGCUCCAUCCUCAUCCACUGUCGCUUCCUCGACCCGCUCCUGGAAGUCACAAUAACAUAAAUUGGUCAUUAUUUUCCGUAAACAAAUUAUCAAAAUGCCGGUUUAACGUCGACUCCCUAUUACAUUCUUUUUGUACUAGCACAAUCAUUUACCUAUACUGACCGACUGGAUUAAAUUGAAGCAAAACAUUUUUUUUUAAAUUGUGUUAUUUUUAGUCAUACCUUUCUCUUACUCUUGAGCCGAGCUGGUGCAUGUUUGACAUUGUCUGCUAUUUUGUCAUCUACCUCUUGGUAGGUAGCCUUGGGGUGUGCUUUCAGGGACGCUCCUAUGUUGUGAAAAAUAAUUGAAAUGGUACAUUCCAUGUCAUAUCAUUACUUUUCCACCUAUGCUGGCGGAGACAGAGGUUGGGUAUUGUCCCUCUCAUACCUCAUAGGCAGUUUUGGCCAUGAGACCUCUUCCCUUGACCUUUCCUUUGUCCUCUCGCCGAUUUCACAUUUAGUUUGUAACUGCCUUGUUACUGAUUUAAUUCAUUUGAAAUGUUAAUAAAUACACAUUUGACCAAUAAUACUAUCUACUAAAUAAUAAUAAAUAACAAUCUAAACUUGUGCAUUUACUUACUUGUGACAGCAUCAUAGAUUGAUAGCUCAUUAAAGGCCCUCUUCCCCUUCCUGCCCUUCAAGGAGUAGCCUGUCCACAGCUCCUCUGUUCCAAUUUCUCAUCAUUCGUCUGAUUCCUGAGCCCAGGUCCAGGCCACAGCAGAGGGUCAGGUAUCGGAUCUGAUAAAAAAAUAAACAAUAUUUAAAAAAAUCCCACUCAUUUGUGUGUUCCUCAGCUAAAACAGCUGGCCAUAAAGUUCUGAUUGAUAGUGUAUCAUGUAAUCAUGGGCUAAAACUUGUGUAAACAGGCAGAGGGCUGAUCGUUUCUUCUUAAGAUAAGUUAAGUGUUAAUUGGGAAAUCAAUCCAAACACUAAAUAGGCAUAUAGGACAACUGCAUUCUGUUGACAUUAAGAUAUUUAGAUUCAAUAAUAUUGCAGGUUGCAAUCUUCUCAAAUCUGGAUGCAUUGAUGAACAGCUAACUUAUUUUUGUCAAUUGCUGUUAAAACCUGUUAGGGACAGACGUUCCGCUAGCGGCAGUCCUUCUCAAAUAGUGGGGCACGCCCCCCUGGGGGGGCUCGGAGCGAUGCCGGGGGCGCGUGUGACCCUGGGGAACAUGCUUUUUUUUGCCGCGGGGAGUAGUUUUUUUUUUUAACCGAACAAGAGCACACAGCACAGAGCAGGAGAUAUGAAGUGCAGAUAACAAACCCUUAAGAUACACAAUGGAAAAAUAUUUAACAGGGAUGAAAAGAAAGGCGGAGAGAGACAGAGAUAAUGAGACAAACGUAAGUCUCCCGAAAGCUAAGACGAGGAAAUAUGACGAAGCGUAUGUAGCGCUUGGCUUCACUGUGACUAUGGUGGGAGACGAGGAAAGACCGGUAUGUUUACUGUGUCUAAAAAUGUUGGCAGCGGACAGCAUGAAGCCAAAUAAAUUAAGGCGUCACUUAAAGACAUUACACCCCAAUCACGCUGAUAAGCCGCUAGAAGUUUUUUUCAGCGAAAACGUGCCGAAUAUUGUCAACAAUCGUCCCGCUUUUUUCUGAAUGCUACUUCAGUAAACCAGCGAGCACUGUUAGCAUCAUAUAAGGUGGCGUACCAAAUUGCUCAGUGCAAAAAAACCCACUCCAUAGCAGAGGAGCUGAUACUGCCUGCAGCAUUAGACAUGGUCUCCGUCAUGCUGGAUGACGCAAGUGCUGCAAAAAUAAAAACUAUCCCUCUGUCCAAUGACACUGUCGCCAGACGUAUAAAUGACAUUGCUAACGAUCUUAAAUAACAGCUG